rnacentral:rRNA from 1 species
GUCCAGACUCCUACGGGAGGCAGCAGUGGGGAAUAUUGCACAAUGGGGGAAACCCUGAUGCAGCGACGCCGCGUGAGUGAAGAAGUAUUUCGGUAUGUAAAGCUCUAUCAGCAGGGAAGAAGAUGACGGUACCUGACUAAGAAGCCCCGGCUAACUACGUGCCAGCAGCCGCGGUAAUACGUAGGGGGCAAGCGUUAUCCGGAUUUACUGGGUGUAAAGGGAGCGUAGACGGCGAUGCAAGCCAGAUGUGAAAGCCCGGGGCUCAACCCCGGGACUGCAUUUGGAACUGUGUGGCUGGAGUGUCGGAGAGGCAGGCGGAAUUCCUAGUGUAGCGGUGAAAUGCGUAGAUAUUAGGAGGAACACCAGUGGCGAAGGCGGCCUGCUGGACGAUGACUGACGUUGAGGCUCGAAAGCGUGGGGAGCAAACAGGAUUAGAUACCCUGGUACAU